UACGUAGGGGGCAAGCGUUGUCCGGAAUCAUUGGGCGUAAAGCGCGUGUAGGCGGCUCGGUAAGUCCGUUCUGAAAGUCCAGGGCUCAACCCUGGGAUGCGGAUGGAUACUGUCGAGCUCGAGUCCGGAAGAGGCGAGUGGAAUUCCUGGUGUAGCGGUGAAAUGCGCAGAUAUCUGGAGGAACACCGGUGGCGAAGGCGGCAUUCUGGACCGACAUUGACGCUGAGGAGCGAAAGCCAGGGGAGCAAACGGG
rnacentral:rRNA from 1 species